rnacentral:rRNA from 1 species
AUACAGAGGGUGCAAGCGUUAAUCGGAAUUACUGGGCGUAAAGGGCGCGUAGGCGGUGAGAUGUGUGUGAUGUGAAAGCCCCGGGCUUAACCUGGGAAGUGCAUCGCAAACUAUCUGACUGGAGUAGAUGAGAGGGUGGCGGAAUUUCCGGUGUAGCGGUGAAAUGCGUAGAUAUUGGAAGGAACACCAGUGGCGAAGGCGACUAUCUGGAUAGAUACUGACACUGAGACACGAAAGCGUGGGGAGC